rnacentral:rRNA from 1 species
CCCUUAGAUGUUCUGGGCCGCACGCGUGCUACACUGAGUGGAUCAGCGGGUCAGGUUGCGCGAAAGUGUUUCCUAAUCUUGACAUCCGCUCGUGAUGGGGAUUGACGGUUGCAAUUUUCCGUCAUGAACGAGGAAUACCUUGUAAGCGCGGGUCAUCAUCCCGCGCUGAAUACGUCCCUGCCCUUUGUACACACCGCCCGUCGCUCCUACCGAUUGAGUGGUCCGGUGAGGCUUUGGGAUCUGAGCGGAAAGAGCGUUUCGCUGUUUCUGCUCGGAAAACUCAGUCGAACCUUAUCAUUUAGAGGAAGGAGAAGUCGUAACA